UACGAAGGGGGCUAGCGUUGCUCGGAAUCACUGGGCGUAAAGCGCACGUAGGCGGAUUGUUAAGUCAGGGGUGAAAUCCCGCGGCCCAACCGUGGAACUGCCUUUGAUACUGGCGAACUUGAGUGCGUGGAGGGGUAGGGGGAACGAGCAGUGUAGCGGUGAAAUGCGUAGAUAUUGCUCGGAAGGCCAGGCAGCCGAAGGGGCCCUACUGGUGCGUAAGCUGACACUGGAGGCACGGAAAGCGUGGGGAGCAAACAGG
rnacentral:rRNA from 1 species